rnacentral:rRNA from 1 species
UGUGUGUUAGUGGAAGCGUCUGGAAAGGCGCGCGAUACAGGGUGACAGCCCCGUACACAAAAAUGCACAUGCUGUGAGCUCGAUGAGUAGGGCGGGACACGUGGUAUCCUGUCUGAAUAUGGGGGGACCAUCCUCCAAGGCUAAAUACUCCUGACUGACCGAUAGUGAACCAGUACCGUGAGGGAAAGGCGAAAAGAACCCCGGCGAGGGGAGUGAAAAAGAACCUGAAACCGUGUACGUACAAGCAGUGGGAGCACGCUUAGGCGUGUGACUGCGUACCUUUUGUAUAAUGGGUCAGCGACUUAUAUUCUGUAGCAAGGUUAACCGAAUAGGGGAGCCGAAGGGAAACCGAGUCUUAACUGGGCGUUAAGUUGCAGGGUAUAGACCCGAAACCCGGUGAUCUAGCCAUGGGCAGGUUGAAGGUUGGGUAACACUAACUGGAGGACCGAACCGACUAAUGUUGAAAAAUUAGCGGAUGACUUGUGGCUGGGGGUGAAAGGCCAAUCAAACCGGGAGAUAGCUGGUUCUCCCCGAAAGCUAUUUAGGUAGCGCCUCGUGAAUUCAUCUCCGGGGGUAGAGCACUG